CCUACGGGAGGCAGCAGUGGGGAAUUUUGGACAAUGGGGGCAACCCUGAUCCAGCAAUGCCGCGUGAGUGAAGAAGGCCUUCGGGUUGUAAAGCUCUUUUGUCAGGGAAGAAAAGGUAGCCUCUAAUACAGGCUGCUCAUGACGGUACCUGAAGAAUAAGCACCGGCUAACUACGUGCCAGCAGCCGCGGUAAUACGUAGGGUGCAAGCGUUAAUCGGAAUUACUGGGCGUAAAGCGUGCGCAGGCGGUUAUAUAAGUCAGAUGUGAAAUCCCUGGGCUCAACCUAGGAACUGCAUUUGAGACUGUAUGGCUAGAGUGUGUCAGAGGGGGGUAGAAUUCCACGUGUAGCAGUGAAAUGCGUAGAUAUGUGGAGGAAUACCGAUGGCGAAGGCAGCCCCCUGGGAUAACACUGACGCUCAUGCACGAAAGCGUGGGGAGCAAACAGGAUUAGAUACCCCAGUAGUC
rnacentral:rRNA from 1 species